rnacentral:rRNA from 1 species
CCGGAAUUGCUAGUAAUGGCAGGUCAGCAUACUGCCGUGAAUACGUUCCCGGGCCUUGUACACACCGCCCGUCACACCAUGAGAGUUGGGAAUACCCGAAGCCUGUGAGCUAACAUUAAGAGGCAGCAGUCGAAGGUAGAAUCAAUGAUUGGGGUGAAGUCGUAACAAGGUACC